UUCUCCAUCCUUCAAUAUACAAGGAGCAACAAAAUGGUUAAUAACAAAAUCAUAUAUCACAUAUAAUGAUAUAAAUGUAAAAAAAGAUAGGUAAACAGUUUU